AGCGCUCUGGAUGUGCAUGUAUUCAUUAGCCACAUCUCCAAUCUCCCAGGCCCCAUCAACGUUAUUCUUUCCCAGUCCACCAGACUUUCCUCCUGUCAUUACAGAUCCUACCUCUCCCAUCUGCCCUGCAAUUGCCUCAUUUCCCCUGACCUGGCUGUCCCCGCCCACCUCCUCAUUUGCAUCUGAUUCCCUCAUCAGCCACUCUGUGGUGUUUAUCAGAGGCGCCUGGUGCUCCAAACUAAGACUGAACCAGACAACAAAUGUGCAGUAAAACCAAAACUAGGAGCUAAAAGAGGCAAAAAAGCUCCGUCUAACUGCAGAGCUGCUUCUUCAUUAACCCUCCUACUGAACCGAAAGAAGAGAACAGGAAGACUUACUAGAUUAUAUACUACUAAAAAAAGCUGAGCGAAGCAGAAGUGAGGCUGCAGCUGA